CCUACGGGCGGCAGCAGUGAGGAAUAUUGGUCAAUGGGCGUAAGCCUGAACCAGCCAAGUCGCGUGAGGGAUGAAGGUUCUAUGGAUCGUAAACCUCUUUUAUAAGGGAAUAAAGUGUGGGACGUGUCCUGUUUUGUAUGUACCUUAUGAAUAAGGAUCGGCUAACUCCGUGCCAGCAGCCGCGGUAAUACGGAGGAUCCGAGCGUUAUCCGGAUUUAUUGGGUUUAAAGGGUGCGUAGGCGGCCUGUUAAGUCAGCGGUGAAAGUCUGUGGCUCAACCAUAGAAUUGCCGUUGAAACUGGGAGGCUUGAGUAUGUUUGAGGCAGGCGGAAUGCGUGGUGUAGCGGUGAAAUGCGUAGAUAUCACGCAGAACCCCGAUGGCGAAGGCAGCCUGCCAAGCCAUGACUGACGCUGAUGCACGAAAGCGUGGGGAUCAAACAGGAUUAGAUACCCGUGUAGUC
rnacentral:rRNA from 1 species